rnacentral:lncRNA from 1 species
GGAUCGGGUAGGCUGCGUGUGGGCUCUGGGAGACUGAGAAGGACCCCAGUGUCUGGGGUACUUCACUGUGCUGGGUGGCUGAGGAGCAAUGAAAUCAAGCGGCCAGGGCCCAAGGAGAGGGUAGCUCCAGGGGCUGCUGAGGGGAUCGGGAGGAAGGGCUGAGAGACGGGGUCAGAGCAGAUGGUCACCAGGCCGCACGGAGCCCUGGCGGAGACCCUCUGCCGCUGCCUGGCAGCACAUUCAGGCUCAGAGCCCAAGUGGAAGAAGGAAUGUGGGUGCACUCAGCACAGGCGCAUCGAUUUGGGGGUGGUUGGGGUGCCUCUAAUUCUCUGUCCCAAAUGGCCUCACCUCAGGGAGGGGUCAUGGCUGUGCCUUCAGCAUCUGAUGGGCGUUUCCAGCCUGCCUGGGUGGCCCAGGGGCCAGAGAGUUUGACAGGUUCUCUGGGGAUGGAUUGCUUUUGGUUUCUCAGAGGCAGGACUCUGGUCGGAAUCUUGGCCUCACAACUGCCAAGCCCCGCCCCCCACCCAGGUCACUGUCCUGCGGCAAAGGGGCUGAUGGUCAGGAAUGGAGCGCCUAACAGUGGUGCUGGCUCCUCUGGGCGACUGUGCAAAUCGCCAGGCUUUGUGCUUCAAGACCCUCCCCCAAAUUCCCUCUCUCUUUCCUUUGGGGCCUCGUUUUCCUGUCCCCAAGCCCUGUUUCAGGGAGCAGACUUAAAGGUGGUUCUCGGGAAUUAAAGUAGGGUAAUCGAUUGAAAGGAUGCUCUCAUGGCACAUGUGGGUGGAGAAAACAGAGGGUUGAAGGCAUUACGUUGUGGUGGGGGGUGCGUGCUGGGAGUCUUUGAGAGAAUUCACCCCUCUCUCUGGGCACUUCACUUGGCUUAGAAGGUGAGGAGGAAUUCUAUCAAGCUGGCAGCUGCCCAAGGCCAGGAGAGCCCUGGGGGGCUGCUGAGGGAAACCGGAGGAAAGGCUGAGAGUCAGUGUUAGAGGAGACGGCCUCCGGAAGGGGCCAGAGCACAGACAAAGCCCAUCUGAAGCCCCCUGGCUGCACCUCUAGGCUACGAGGUGGUGCCAAGAGGGGUUAGUGGGAGCCCCAGGAUGUGUUAAGAUGGCUCACAGGGCACCACUGACUCUCUGGCACCAAUCGACUGACCUCAGGGAGCAGAAAGACAUUGCUUUCUGCAUCUGAUGGGUAGUUCCAUCCGGCUCUGGCUGCCCAGGGGCCAGAGAGGUGGACAUGUUCUCUGGGGUUGGUUUGCUCUUAGUUUCUCAGGGGGCAGGGACACUGGACCCACAAUAUCUGCUUGAAUCUUGGCCUCGCAAUUACCAAUCCUGCAGCUUCUGUAAAGUCAUCACAUGUCCAACGGGGCUGGUGGUCAUGAAUGGAGCUUGUGAAAGUGGUGCUAUUUUGAGGGGGCAGACAGGAACCCCUGUGCUUUAUCUUUCAGGAGUUCUCCCCGGAUUCUUUCUUCCCCUUCCAUCUGAACCUCUAUGUCCUGUCUGCAAUCGCUGUUUCAAGGAGCAGAACUAAGGGAAGGGCCUGAGAGGGAAGGCAGCUGGGACUGAUUUAAAGAAGGCUCUCGGUACCCAAUGGUGGGGAUGCAGAGGUUUUUAUGUAUUGGGGUGGGGUAAGUUGGGGUGAGCACUCGGGGAGACUGUGAGAGAAAUACUCCAGCGUCUAGGGCAUUCAUUCAGCUCAGCAGCUGAGGAGAAAUGAAAUCGAGCAGCUCAGGCCCAAGGCCCGGGUAGCUUCUAGGGCGGCUGAGAAACAGGAGGAAGGGCUGAGAGACGGUGUUAGAUGGAGGUCACCAGGCUGAACCCCAGCCCAGGCAGAGCCCCUGGCAGAUGCCUGGCUGAGACUCUGGGCUCAGAGGUGCAGUUGAGGGAGGAUGUGGGACCCUCAGCACAUGCUCAGAGGCUUGGGCUGGAAACAGGGAGCCUCUACGGCUCUGGCCAAACGGACUCACCUCAGGGCAGGGACACAGCUGUGCCCUCAGCAUCUGGCGGGCAUGUCAGCCAGAUCGGUGCCCCAGGGCCAGAGUGUGACAGGCUCCCUGGGUCAGCUGGCCCUGUUUCUCCAGAGGCAGACCCUUGGGUCCAGAAACACCAGGGCUAAAGAUGGGGCUUUGACGUUUGAAGCACUGGUCUUGGGCACAAACCGGCGUGAGUGUCCUCUGCUCCUUCCUCUCAGCGAACUGAACACCCAAGAAGAGAGGGCGUGAUGUCAGCCCGGUUUCAGAAACCUGACAUUCGAGAUUCAAGCCAGGAAUUUGCUUGUCCCCUCAGAGAGCCUGUCAAAUUUUCUGGUCAUUUAUCAGAGAAACACACUGAAUUUGAGCCAAAGAUGUGUGAGCAGAAUUAUGCCAGUAUCCUGAGGUGAAAGAAACUGGCCAGAUGAUAAGAGGCGCCCUGUAACCCCAUCUCAGCCCCGAGCACUUCCGUGGGGUCUCGUCAUACAAUCGGCAACCACGUAUUUCAGCCUGAAGGAGAGGAGGGUCUCCGGGGUUCUCCAGAGCCCUUGACCAGAAUGCGCUGCUCUAACAGCAACUCGGAGCCCUGACAGCCUCCAACGGCAGAAGUCCGCUCUGCAGGGCCCGGGGGCACUGCCAGUGUGAUUUCCUUCCUCCUCUCCCUUUCAGCGCCCAGAAACACGCUACGGGCUGGGGUGUGACAAUCUCAGAGCCGGAACUCACCCCACACCCUGAAAUCAACAACCCCACUUGCCACCCUCCUUUUAAGUCAGGACAGCAGGCUUUGAAUCAGCAGCCUUCCUCCCCAGGACUCUGCACUGGCCUGGGCCACUUGCCAGCCUGAUGUCCUUGCUCCUCCCCCUCCCAGGUGCACUGAGAUACACUAUGGGCAGGGGUAUGACUCUCACAGUCGGCCAGGACCCUCACCCCACACGACACCACCCCACACCCUGAAAACAAAGACCCUGCUUUCAAUCAGCACCCUCCAGCCUUUUGACCCAGCUUGAAAGCAAGCACCACCCAACAUUUGUUCAUGGUACCUGUUUGUAAGUGUCUUCCUUUAACAGGUGUCUGGCAGAGGAAGAAGAGGCUCAGGUGGGAGGGAAGAAAAAGCUUGAAGAAAUACAACAGUUAUGAGCUCAGCAGGUCCCCCCAAGACCCCUGGUUUGACACAGUGCAUUCACUACCCGAAGGCCAGCUUUCUAGAGCUCAACUCCAUGUGGAACAGACCGGUUGUGGCAAACUGCAUGGCCAAAAAAUAAUCCAUGUAUUUCUGGGUCCAGAGUUGAGCCUCCAAACAAAGGGGACAGUCUGUCAACUCUCUAGCCACUGGGCCAACUGGCCUUUCAGGAAUUGAACCAUAGAUGUGAUGUAAGAAUUAUUUCCCCUCCCUCAGAGGAGGAAAAUUUGGCCAGAGAGUCCGAGGUACCACAUACCAAAACAGAAGGCUCUGGGAACCUCCUUGGGAUGCUAAAGACCCAUCUCCAACCUUGCCUCUCAGCCUGAAGAUGAAGUCUGGGAGCUGCAGGGAGGGGCGCCAACGGUGCUCUGCCGCCAUCCGGUGGCCAUCUGCUCUAACAGCAACUCCCAGCCCUUCCUGUCUCCCACAGCAGAACCCUGGUCUGCAGUGGCCUGGGGACCUUAGCAGUACUGGGGUGUAUUGCGUGCAGAGCAGUACCCACAGCAAGCACACAAGUUUUUCAGUUGUUUCCUGGGCACCAGGGACUCUCUGCUCCCAGAUUCCUCAUGUCAGGCAGAGGACACGUGUCCUUUCAGGAUUUUGAGAUGGAUUCACAACCUGGUUGGGUGGCAGUGUGUUUAGAAUGCUUGAAGGAUCCACUGGGUUUCAGAAUGCCUUGUGUUCCUCCAGAGGCAGGGGCUGAGACCCACGGAGCAUUUGUG